rnacentral:rRNA from 1 species
GACGAACGCUGGCGGCGUGCUUAACACAUGCAAGUCGAACGGAAAGGCCCUGCUUGCAGGGUACUCGAGUGGCGAACGGGUGAGUAACACGUGGGUGAUCUGCCCUGCACUUCGGGAUAAGCCUGGGAAACUGGGUCUAAUACCGGAUAGGAGCCAUUUUUAGUGUGAUGGUUGGAAAGUUUUUUCGGUGUAGGAUGAGCUCGCGGCCUAUCAGCUUGUUGGUGGGGUAAUGGCCUACCAAGGCGGCGACGGGUAGCCGGCCUGAGAGGGUGGACGGCCACAUUGGGACUGAGAUACGGCCCAGACUCCUACGGGAGGCAGCAGUGGGGAAUAUUGCACAAUGGGCGCAAGCCUGAUGCAGCGACGCCGCGGGGGGGAUGACGGCCUUCGGGUUGUAAACUCCUUCCGCUAGGGACGAAGCUUUUUGUGACGGUACCUAGAUAAGAAGCACCGGCUAACUACGUG